ACCAAAGGGGUNAUGNCNUUAGUACGGCGAGUGAAGCGGCAAAAGCUCAAAUUUGAAAUCUGGCACCUUCGGUGUCCGAGUUGUAAUUUGAAGAAGGUAACUUUGGAGUUGGCUCUUGUCUAUGUUCCUUGGAACAGGACGUCACAGAGGGUGAGAAUCCCGUGCGAUGAGAUGCCCAAUUCUAUGUAAAGUGCUUUCGAAGAGUCGAGUUGUUUGGGAAUGCAGCUCUAAGUGGGUGGUAAAUUCCAUCUAAAGCUAAAUAUUGGCGAGAGACCGAUAGCGAACAAGUACAGUGAUGGAAAGAUGAAAAGAACUUUGAAAAGAGAGUGAAAAAGUACGUGAAAUUGUUGAAAGGGAAGGGCUUGAGAUCAGACUUGGUAUUUUGCGAUCCUUUCCUUCUUGGUUGGGUUCCUCGCAGCUUACUGGGCCAGCAUCGGUUUGGAUGGUAGGAUAAUGACUAAGGAAUGUGGCUCUACUUCGGUGGAGUGUUAUAGCCUUGGUUGAUACUGCCUGUCUAGACCGAGGACUGCGUCUUUUGACUAGGAUGUUGGCAUAAUGAUCUUAAGCCACCCGUCUUGAAACCCAGGAAACAAAAA
rnacentral:rRNA from 1 species